rnacentral:rRNA from 1 species
UACGAAGGGGGCUAGCGUUGCUCGGAAUCACUGGGCGUAAAGCGCACGUAGGCGGCUUCUUAAGUCAGGGGUGAAAUCCUGGAGCUCAACUCCAGAACUGCCCUUGAUACUGAGAGGCUCGAGUCCGGGAGAGGUGGGUGGAACUCCGAGUGUAGAGGUGAAAUUCGUAGAUAUUCGGAAGAACACCAGUGGCGAAGGCGGCUCACUGGCCCGGUACUGACGCUGAGGUGCGAAAGCGUGGGGAGCAAACAGG